GAUGAACGCUGGCGGCGUGCCUAAUACAUGCAAGUCGAGCGAACAGACGAGGAGCUUGCUCCUCUGAUGUUAGCGGCGGACGGGUGAGUAACACGUGGAUAACCUACCUAUAAGACUGGGAUAACUUCGGGAAACCGGAGCUAAUACCGGAUAACAUGUUGAACCGCAUGGUUCAACAGUGAAAGACGGUCUUGCUGUCACUUAUAGAUGGAUCCGCGCCGCAUUAGCUAGUUGGUAAGGUAACGGCUUACCAAGGCAACGAUGCGUAGCCGACCUGAGAGGGUGAUCGGCCACACUGGAACUGAGACACGGUCCAGACUCCUACGGGAGGCAGCAGUAGGGAAUCUUCCGCAAUGGGCGAAAGCCUGACGGAGCAACGCCGCGUGAGUGAAGAAGGUCUUCGGAUCGUAAAACUCUGUUAUUAGGGAAGAACAAAUGUGUAAGUAACUAUGCACGUCUUGACGGUACCUAAGCAGAAAGCCACGGCUAACUACGU
rnacentral:rRNA from 1 species